rnacentral:rRNA from 1 species
ACACAUGCAAGUCGAACGGACUUACAUUGAAGCCUAGCGAUAUGUAAGUUAGUGGCGGACGGGUGAGUAACGCGUGGGUAACCUGCCUUGUACUGGGGGACAACAGUUGGAAACGACUGCUAAUACCGCAUAAGCGCACAGCUUCGCAUGAAGCAGUGUGAAAAACUCCGGUGGUACAAGAUGGACCCGCGUCUGAUUAGCUGGUUGGUGAGGUAACGGCCCACCAAGGCGACGAUCAGUAGCCGGCCUGAGAGGGUGAACGGCCACAUUGGGACUGAGACACGGCCCAAACUCCUACGGGAGGCAGCAGUGGGGAAUAUUGCACAAUGGGGGAAACCCUGAUGCAGCAACGCCGCGUGAGUGAAGAAGUAUUUCGGUAUGUAAAGCUCUAUCAGCAGGAAAGAAAAUGACGGUACCUGACUAAGAAGCCCCGGCUAACUACGUGCCAGCAGCCGCGGUAAUACGUAGGGGGCAAGCGUUAUCCGGAUUUACUGGGUGUAAAGGGAGCGUAGACGGUUUUGCAAGUCUGAAGUGAAAGCCCGGGGCUUAACCCCGGGACUGCUUUGGAAACUGUAGGACUAGAGUGCAGGAGAGGUAAGUGGAAUUCCUAGUGUAGCGGUGAAAUGCGUAGAUAUUAGGAGGAACACCAGUGGCGAAGGCGGCUUACUGGACUGUAACUGACGUUGAGGCUCGAAAGCGUGGGGAGCAAACAGGAUUAGAUACCCUGGUAGUCCACGCCGUAAACGAUGAUUACUAGGUGUUGGUGGGUGUGACCCAUCGGUGCCGCAGCAA